ensembl:lncRNA
CUGCUCCGGAGCCGGCCUUAAGAGAAGUCAGGCCUCCGUGUUGAUGAGCAUCUCCACCUUCACACCUGGCCAGUCCCUGUGCCUGAGACCCACAGAACCCAGCCCAGCCCAAGCUGGCAGGAGAGGAGCCUGCCCUCCUCCCCGGGACACUGCCACCACCACCAACACCCCCUCCUUUCUAGGCAUCUUCUGGGAGGGGCCGGUGGGUUUGAGCGGAAGCAGAGCCAGCACAGUGGACACCGCUACUCUGAGCAUCUGUUGGCUGCAGAGGCCAGGGUUUCUCCCAGGUCACCUGUCAGUAUCACAGGGUUUCCUCCAGGACCUCAU